rnacentral:rRNA from 1 species
GCCAGGCGCGAUAGCACGCUGAAUGCAACAGUCCUCGAUACAUCACUGAAGUUAAGCAACGUUGCGCGUGGUUGGUAUCCGGAUGGGUGACCAUCUGGACAAUCGCGUGCUGGCU